GACGAACGCUGGCGGCGUGCCUAAUACAUGCAAGUUGAGCGCUGAAGGUUGGUACUUGUGCCAACUGGAUGAGCAGCGAACGGGUGAGUAACGCGUGGGGAAUCUGCCUUUGAGCGGGGGACAACAUUUGGAAACGAAUGCUAAUACCGCAUAAAAACUUUAAACACAAGUUUUAAGUUUGAAAGAUGCAAUUGCAUCACUCAAAGAUGAUCCCGCGUUGUAUUAGCUAGUUGGUGAGGUAAAGGCUCACCAAGGCGAUGAUACAUAGCCGACCUGAGAGGGUGAUCGGCCAAAUUGGGACUGAGACACGGCCCAAACUCCUACGGGAGGCAGCAGUAGGGAAUCAUCGGCCAUGGACGAAAGUCUGACCGAGCAACGCCGCGUGAGUGAAGAAGGUUUUCGGAUCGUAAAACUCUGUUGGUAGAGAAGAAAGUUGGUGAGAGUGGAAAGCUCAUCAAGUGACGGUAACUAACCAGAAAGGGACGGCUAACUACGUG
rnacentral:rRNA from 1 species